GAUUUUCCAGCAUUCUAUCGCGAGCCGUUUCGCGGUGCGUUUUGUCUUGGUUCUCUUGUUGCUGUAAUAUCUUUCGAUUUUCUUGUUGUUUGCAUCGAUGCUCAAUGCUCAUUUUUUCUUAUAUAUGUGAACAGUUUCACUGGCAUUGAAAGUUCGUUGUGAAAAUUUUGUGAAUUUUUCGAGUGUAUAAGUGUGAAAAGUUUCAAUGGAAUUGUUAAUCGUGUGAUUCGAAAUAAAUCAAGUGUUACAGGUUAUUCCAAAUGUAUUUCAGAAAUAAAAAUUUGUGAUAAAACAUCGUUACAGAAAAGUGAUGUGUUUGAAGAAGUUGUCAUAGGUACCAUGAUUCUCAUCUGGAAAAAUGAAUUGAUGGAUAACUUGUACGAUGAUUUGUACCUGUGAAUGUGUCGGUCGCUCAAAUUUUCUCGCUUUUCAAGUGUGGGCCAGCCUACUCGGAGGUCGACCAGGUGCGUCGGACCCUGAAUAUUCGUUGACUGGUGUGCACCUAAGUAUUAAGUGUUUUUCACGAGCCACCAGUUUACAACGGCUCCUUUUAUGUUCUUUUAUUAACUCGGAGAUUUGACGCUACGUGACCGGUUCAGGUUUCGUCGGAUUUGUAUUUCGGAAUACCGAGAGAUGGCGAGACAUGAUCGAUUUUUCGACGGCUAUGGAAUUAACGAGAUCAUCGAUAGUGGCGUAUCGAGGAAAUGGAAUCCAGAGGCGAUGGAAAACGAGUUUCGUGUGCACGACUAUCCAACCAUUUAAAAUAUUCAAGUAUUUGAAAUUCAAACCGUGUCAAAUCUGUUUAUUUCUAUUCGCAUCAAAUCAAGUAGUAUUCGAUUAUUUAUGUAUUAUGUGAAAUUGUCAUUUGAUUUACGACAUUUAAUUUGAGAAAUGUAAUAUAGUUCCAUAUGAUUUUUUUAUGUAAUAGAUCUUGCUAAUUGAGCUUUUAUUAAAAAAGAAUAUAAAUAUGAUAAAAA